AGGGUUUUGGCAUGGGGGGAACCCUGAUCAGCCUGCCGCGUGUGUGAAGAAGGCCUUUUGGUUGUAAAGCACUUUAAGCGAGGAGGAGGCUACUUGGAUUAAUACUCUGAGAUAGUGGACGUUACUCGCAGAAUAAGCACCGGCUAACUCUGUGCCAGCAGCCGCGGUAAUACAGAGGGUGCAAGCGUUAAUCGGAUUUACUGGGCGUAAAGCGUGCGUAGGUGGCCAAUUAAGUCAAAUGUGAAAUCCCUGAGCUUAACUUAGGAAUUGCAUUCGAUACUGGUUGGCUAGAGUAUGGGAGAGGAUGGUAGAAUUCCAGGUGUAGCGGUGAAAUGCGUAGAGAUCUGGAGGAAUACCGAUGGCGAAGGCAGCCAUCUGGCCUAAUACUGACACUGAGGUACGAAAGCAU
rnacentral:rRNA from 1 species